AUCCUUGCAGCACAAUGGAUUGUGAGUUGGACUUCGAAUCCAAAGGCUGUGGGUUCAAAACCCACCUGGGAUU